rnacentral:rRNA from 1 species
GACGAACGCUGGCGGCGUGCUUAACACAUGCAAGUCGAACGCUGAAGCUCAGCUUUUGUUGGGUGGAUGAGUGGCGAACGGGUGAGUAACACGUGAGUAACCUGCCCCCUUCUUUGGGAUAACGCCCGGAAACGGGUGCUAAUACUGGAUAUUCACUGGUCUUCGCAUGGGGGUUGGUGGAAAGGGUUUUCCUGGUGGGGGAUGGGCUCGCGGCCUAUCAGCUUGUUGGUGGGGUGAUGGCCUACCAAGGCUUUGACGGGUAGCCGGCCUGAGAGGGUGACCGGUCACAUUGGGACUGAGAUACGGCCCAGACUCCUACGGGAGGCAGCAGUGGGGAAUAUUGCACAAUGGGCGCAAGCCUGAUGCAGCGACGCCGCGUGAGGGAUGGAGGCCUUCGGGUUGUGAACCUCUUUCGCUCAUGGUCAAGCCGCAACAAUGGUUGUGGUGAGGGUAGUGGGUAAAGAAGCGCCGGCUAACUACGUG